rnacentral:rRNA from 1 species
UAAUACGGAGGGGGCUAGCGUUAUUCGGAAUUAUUGGGCGUAAAGGGCGCGUAGGCGGCCCGGUAAGUCAAAGGUGAAAUCCCUCGGCUCAACUGAGGAACUGCCUUUGAAACUGUCGGGCUUGAGGCCGGGAGGGGGUAGCGGAAUUCCCAGUGUAGCGGUGAAAUGCGUAGAUAUUGGGAGGAACACCGG